UAGCUGUUCGGCCCUGGGAUCCGCCGCGACUCCGCGAUCAGCUGGCUCUGAGCCACUAGCCCCGUGAGCACUCGGAUUCCAGCCGGCGCCAACGCGCCUGGGGGCAUAGCCCGCAGCUGCCAGGCUCACGGCCGGCUGAGCGGGACCCCGCCUCUGCCUCAGCCACCAUCGCCGCCGCCGCCUCCUCUUCCUCAGCCGGCGGCGGCCCGGGCCCAGCAACCGUGGCCGAAGACUACUGGGACCCGCGCCUGCGACGAACAGAAGAAGGAGAUCGCGCGGCCUCACCCCGGGCCGCCGCCCCAGGCGUCGCCUCGUCGGCCCCACAGCUCUGAGGUUGCUCGAGCGCCCCCGCCGAUCGCCAUGGAUCGGAUGAAGAAGAUCAAACGGCAGCUGUCAAUGACACUCCGAGGUAGCCGAAGCAUAGACAAGACCAAUGGUGCCACUGAGCAGAUAGGCCUGGAUGAGAGUGGUGGUGGUGGUGGCAGUGACCCUGGAGAGGCCCCCACACGUGCUGCUCGUGGGGAACUUCGCUCUGCACCAGAGACUGUGCACGAGGACUUGAAGAUGGGGUCUGAUGGGGAGAGUGACCAGGCUUCAGCCACAUCCUCGGAUGAGGUGCAAUCUCCAGCGAGACUGCGCAUGCAAAACCAUCCCCCAUGCAAGAUCUCCACCGAGGACAUCCACAAACACCUAUCGCUACCAGCUGACAUCCGGCUACCUGAGGGCUACCUUGAGAAGCUGACCCUCAAUAGCCCCAUCUUUGACAAGCCACUCAGCCGCCGCCUCCGUUGUGUCAUCCUGUCUGAGAUUGGCUUUGGGAAACUGGAGACUUACAUUAAGCUGGACAAGCUGGGCGAGGGUACCUAUGCCACCGUCUACAAAGGCAAAAGCAAGCUCACAGACCACCUUGUGGCGCUGAAGGAGAUCAGACUGGCACAUGAAGAGGGGACACCAUGCACUGCCAUCCGGGAAGUGUCUCUGCUCAAGGAUCUCAAACACGCAAACAUUGUUACGCUGCAUGACAUUAUCCACACGGAGAAGUCCUUCACCCUUGUCUUUGAGUACCUGGACAAGGACCUGAAGCAGUACCUGGAUGAUUGUGGGAACAUCAUCAACAUGCACAACGUGAAGCUGUUCCUGUUCCAGCUGCUCCGAGGCCUGGCCUACUGCCACCGGCAGGAGGUGCUACACAGAGACCUCAAGCCCCAGAACCUGCUCAUCAACGAGAGAGGAGAGCUCAAGCUGGCUGACUUUGGUCUGGCCCGGGCCAAGUCAAUCCCAACAAAGACGUACUCCAAUGAGGUGGUGACACUGUGGUACCGUCCCCCUGACAUCCUGCUUGGGUCCACGGACUACUCCACUCAGAUUGACAUGUGGGGUGUGGGCUGCAUCUUCUAUGAGAUGGCCACAGGCCAGCCCCUCUUCCCGGGCUCCACGGUGGAGGAACAACUGCAUUUCAUCUUCCGCAUCUUAGGAACCCCAACUGAGGAGACGUGGCCAGGCAUCCUGUCCAAUGAGGAGUUCAAGACCUACAACUACCCCAAGUACCGACCCGAGGCCCUUUUGAGCCAUGCACCCCGACUUGAUAGUGACGGGGCUGACCUCCUUACCAAGCUGCUGCAGUUUGAAGGUCGAAAUCGGAUAUCCGCAGAGGAUGCCAUGAAACAUCCAUUCUUCCUCAGUCUGGGGGCGCGGAUCCACAAACUUCCUGACACUACUUCCAUAUUUGCACUAAAGGAGAUUCAGCUACAAAAGGAGGCCAGCCUUCGGUCUUCAUCAAUGCCUGACUCAGGCAGGUCAGCUUUCAGCAUGGUGGACACCCAGUUCUAAAUCACAGACCGAGGCCCCAGCAGGCAGUGGCUGGAGGGAUGCCACACCCUUCACAGGGCAGCCCCCAACUACAUCUUCCCUGCUUACUCUCUGCCUACCUGCCUGACCCAUGUUCGCCUGCCCGCUUGUCCCCUGCUGCCUGCCCAAACACCCGACUAUUAGCCUGUCAACCCACCCAUUGGCCUGUCUGCUGGGUUUUAACAUAGCACUCAUCACUCC